UUUUUUUUUUUUUAAAUAUCAAUCCCUCGCUAAAAGAGAUCGAGCGCCCCUUCUCUCUCGCCUCCAUUCACUACCCACUUUCCAUCCUCAAAUCAAUUAAUCUUCUCCUCCCUGCAAAUCUCUUCACCCAAAAUCUCCAAUCUCCAAUCUCAAUUCCUUCAUCCGUCCUCACCAAUUCUUCUCCUUCCCUGCGAAACCCUUCACCCACCUCCAAUCCCAAUUUCUUGGUUCGCUCUUCUCUUCCGCAAUGUUGAAGGCGUGAAAUUCCAGCGCCAUAGUUCUCGGUUCUUCCUCCGACCACGGUUUGAGACUCGGUCUUUGCUUCACUUCAACAGCGGCGCCUUUUAAAACGCUGUAAAGGGCGCCCUUUUCUUCACCCUUCCCUUUACCAUGGGUCGCGGGUAAUCUCACUCUUCCCUCAUCACCCUUCACCUCUCAUCUCUCAACACUGAGCACCACACUACCAUCACCAGCUCCGGCCGAAUCAAAACCACCCCAACCUCAGGCCGCCGUUUCUGAAUUUUCAGGCGCAAUUUACAGUCACCGAGUUCUCUAUUUUCGGCAAUCUCUUGGCCAAAAGGCCGAGCUAUUCUUUCUCAGUCUCAGGUCUCUCUCAUUUAUCGUCGCAGCUGGGUUCUUCUCUGAUCGCGGCUGGUUUUUUCCUUCCGGCGAUUUUGAUUUGGUUGCGGGUCCGUCCGGCGAGUUGUGAAUCGCCGUUUUCUCCAGUGAUUUUGAUUUGGUUUUCUCCAGCGAUCGUGGCUGGUCUUUCCGCGGAUCGUGGCUGGGUUCUCCGGCGAUUUUGGCUUCGCCUUUCUCCUUUGCCUGCGGUUAAUUGUUUCGGCGAGUUUGUGAGUUGUUAAUUGAGUUCCAGAUUCCACUGUCAAAAGCCUCCAACUUCAUACAACAUCAUCUUAGGACUUCAUGGGGUUCACUGAUGCCGUGAAACGAAAUCCCAUGGUCGAAAGUGAUGUAAUUGUUUGGUUGAUUUGCAGAUUUUGCACUAGAGUUGUUAAAUAUAUAUAUAUAUACAAUAAAAAAAUAAAAUAAAAAAUAAAAUAAAUUUUAAAAAAAAUAACCAAUUCAGUAGAAUUUGUAAUAGAUUUUGCAGUAAGGUUUUUAUUUAUUUAUUUAUUUAUUUUAAAAAAUAAUUUUUUUUUUUCAAUGUAGUAUUCUGUCUUACUAGAGACGUUCAAUUUAGCCUAUUUUUUAUUUUGUAGCUUGUAUAUACAUGUUCUUUUUCUUCAUUUUUUUUUUUAAAAAAAAAAACACGCAAAUAUAUAUAUAUAUAUAAAUUAAAAAAAAAAAACCAAAAAAAAUAUUAAAAAAUAUAUGUUACCGAUAUGCCUUUAUGCUUGGUUAUGCAUGUUUUAAUUUUUUAUAGAGGGUUUCAUCUCAUAUCUCUUUGUAUCGUGUUAUAUAUUAUUUUGAACUGUAUGCAUUACUUAUCGCAUGUGAUAUUUGAUGUGAGUUUAUUAGUAUGGUUAUACAGUUAGGUUUUUGCAUCCAAGUUUGGGGGAAACAUCUUUCCUAUUGGAUCAUUUCCGGACUUCAUAAUCUUUGCCAUCACGGUAUACUCUUUCUAUCAUUUUUCGUUGUUGUCAUUGCAUAUUGAGGAUAAUAUACAAUUUAAGUUUAGGGGUAAGGUCAUCAUGAUUCAUUCUAUUUUAAAUUGAGUUUUAAAUGCAUGAUGAGAUUUAAGAUAUGUUUGGUAAUGAUUUCGAACUUUUGAAGCAUAAUGCUUUUAAAAAGCAAGUUGUUAGAGUCUAAUACUUUUGCAUGCUCUAGGAUGCCAUUUAGGGGUAAAUUUUAAUUUUUGACAUCAUGUUUGCUUUUGUGGUACACAUCAUCUUGUUGGUUGAAAAUGCUUUGAGAGUUGAUUCUACAAUUCUACACUUGCACUUAUGCACACUAACAUUCAAUUUAUAAGGUACAUGUUUAGUUGAUUAAUGUUUUGUUUUAUCCCAAUUGAGCUAAUAUGCUUUGAAAACUUUCAUUCUUGAUAAAAUGACCUUGUAAAUAAAAGAAAUAAAAGCGUUCACCAAAGGUGAGCAAAAUUACUCGCCAAAGGUGAGAAAUAGAAAUAGAAAUGGGAACAAAAAAAAUAAAAAAAUAAAAAAUAAAUAAAAAGAAAAGCAUUCACCAAAAGAAAAAGAAAAAAAAAAAUGAAAUCAAUUUUUUUAAAAAAAAUGUUUGAUUGAAUAACAAGAUUCAUUCAAUUUCUUGAUAUCUGGUACUAUAUCUGUAUGUUAGUUUGAGGGUAAAGUUAUGUCAUUAUUUUGAUUUGCUAUGAUAGCAACACAUUUUGAUUCCGGUUCACUCAAAAAGAAUGAUAGAAUUGAUUCAAUUUGUAUUAUUAAUUGCUUGAUGUGUGGAGAACCAUUCUUGCUUAUAUGAUGUUGAAAUGUUAAGAAUAGCUUAGAAAUGAUAGAAAUUUGCAUACUUGAAGUAGUCUACUUUCAACACUUGUUUGAUAUAUGUCCUUGAUUCUCAAGUAAAAAAGAGUUGUUGAUGUUUAUAGGUACCAUUCCUGGAAACCCUCACGAGACUUCACUCGUCCACUAGAGGUUUAAAAGGCUUGUUGCAUAUGCUAAAUGCAACCAUAAUCCCUACGAAAGUGGUGUUAUCUUUAUUUGCUUUAUUAGUUCACAGGUCAAUAAGGUUCAAACGGACUAAUUUUGGUUCACUAAAGCCUUUUUGGAGUCAAGCAAAGAUAUUCAGAAAAAGUUCAGAAAAUGACAAAAAGAGGUCGCAGCCCAUUGCUCAUAUAGUGUGUUUAUUCUUCAAAAGCGGUCAAUUCUACUUUUCUCGGGCCUUUGAUGAUGUUCCCAAUGAUGAAGAAACAAACCAAUUAGCUUGGGGCCAAAAUGAAGCUACAUAAGGUGUAAAUGGAAAUUCCAACUCUGGGGGAUCGAUCCCCAGAGUGGGGGAUUGAUCCCCACUAUUCACAGAACUAAAAAUGCUCUUGGGAGAUCGAUCCCCCAGCACCUGGCAGCAUUGCGGGAUUGAUUUUUAAUUGGCUACGGGAUUUUCUUGUUUUGGGUUAUUUUGUAACUUAUUGGUCUCCAAUAAGGUUUAUUUAAGGAAACCAAUACCCAUUAGUUUUGGUGGAGUUUUUAUUUUUAUUUUUAUUAAGUUUUAUUUUCGAUAUAUCGAUGUUCUAUCUGAAAAAUGCGAAGGAGGAGAAACGAAGAACAAGCUAGGGUUUAGAAGAAAAAGCUCAAAGAUGAUGAAUCCAAUGAUGGAGAUUAUUCUGUCUUCAACUCCAUCAACCAUGAGUAGCUGAUUCUUCUACUUAGGGUUGGAUAUACCCUAAGCAUGUAACCUAUUCUCUCUAUCUUUUCAUA